GUGGUCCUACGGGGGGUAGCAGUGGGGAAUAUUGCACAAUGGGGGGAACCCUGAUGCAGCGACGCCGCGUGAGUGAAGAAGUAUUUCGGUAUGUAAAUCUCUAUCAGCAGGGAAGAAAAUGACGGUACCUGACUAAGAAGCCCCGGCUAACUACGUGCCAGCAGCCGCGGUAAUACGCAGGGGGCAAGCGUUAUCCGGAUUUACUGGGUGUAAAGGGAGCGUAGACGGCAGAGCAAGUCUGAAGUGAAAGCCCGCGGCCCAACUGCGGGACUGCUUUGGAAACUGCCCGGCU
rnacentral:rRNA from 1 species